rnacentral:rRNA from 1 species
GACGAACGCUGGCGGCGUGCCUAAUACAUGCAAGUAGAACGCUGAAGCUUGGUGCUUGCACCGAGCGGAUGAGUUGCGAACGGGUGAGUAACGCGUAGGUAACCUGCCUGGUAGCGGGGGAUAACUAUUGGAAACGAUAGCUAAUACCGCAUAACAGUAGAUAUCGCAUGAUAGCUACUUGAAAGGUGCAAAUGCACCACUACCAGAUGGACCUGCGUUGUAUUAGCUAGUUGGUGAGGUAACGGCUCACCAAGGCAACGAUACAUAGCCGACCUGAGAGGGUGAUCGGCCACACUGGGACUGAGACACGGCCCAGACUCCUACGGGAGGCAGCAGUAGGGAAUCUUCGGCAAUGGACGGAAGUCUGACCGAGCAACGCCGCGUGAGUGAAGAAGGGUUUCGGAUCGUAAAGCUCUGUUGUAAGAGAAGAACGAGUGUGAGAGUGGAAAGUUCACACUGUGACGGUAGCUUACCAGAAAGGGACGGCUAACUACGUG